rnacentral:miRNA from 1 species
AACCCGUAAUGAUAAUAAUUCGCG